rnacentral:rRNA from 1 species
GUGCCAGCAGUCNCGGUAAUACGUAGGGUGCAAGCGUUAAUCGGAAUUACUGGGCGUAAAGCGUGCGCAGGCGGUAAUGUAAGACAGAGGUGAAAUCCCCGGGCUCAACCUGGGAACUGCCUUUGUGACUGCAUUGCUAGAGUACGGUAGAGGGGGGUGGAAUUCCGCGUGUAGCAGUGAAAUGCGUANAGAUGUGGAGGAAUACCGAUGGCGAAGGCAGCCCCCUGGGAUAAUAUUGACGCUCAUACACGAAAGCGUGGGGAGCAAACAGGAUUAGAUACCCUGGUAGUCCACGCCCUAAACGAUGUCAACUAGUUGUUGGUAGAGUAAAAUCUAUGAGUAACGUAGCUAACGCGAGAAGUUGACCGCCUGGGGAGUACGGUCGCGAGAUUAAAACUCAAAUGAAUUGACGG